UACGUAGGGACCGAGCGUUGUCCGGAAUCAUUGGGCGUAAAGAGCGUGUAGGCGGCUAUUUAAGUCCUGCGUGAAAUCCUGCGGCUCAACCGCAGACGGUCGUGGGAAACUGGAUGGCUAGAGUGCGGGAGAGGAGAGUGGGAUUCCCGGUGUAGCGGUGAAAUGCGCAGAUAUCGGGAAGAACACCCGUGGCGAAGGCGGCUCUCUGGAACGCAACUGACGCUGAGACGCGAAAGCGUGGGGAGCAAACAGG
rnacentral:rRNA from 1 species